CGUGAGUUAAUAGCACCGGUUUAAACAGAUGUGAAUGUUAAAGAAAAAAAACCCGCCCCUCUAUUUUCUUUCUCUUUCCCCUCUUCUCUCUUUCUCUUUCCUCGAUCUCUCGUUCUCUCACUUUCUCUUCUCUCUCCUCUCUCCUCUCUCCUCAACUAGAUCUCCCUCUUCUCUCUCUCUUUCCUCUCUCCACUGUGCCACCGUCCAUUCCACCUCGCUGGCGCACUUUCCUCUUAGCUAUCUGUCUUUCUAUCCAUCCCACCUCACAUUCACUCUCCUCUCAGCUCUCUUUUUCUCUCUUUCAUUUACCCUCGCACUAACCAUCGCGGCGGCGAUGGUGACGGGUUUAUUUCUUCACCGGCGCCGGAUCUUUGCAAUGGUGGUGGAUCUCUUCACGAAGAGUCGAUGCUUGGAUUUCUCCUCUUCUUCACUGCGUUCCGCCGCCUCAUCCUCAGUCAUCUCCAAAUCCCCUCUUUCUCGUGAUGAACAUGAGCCCAGAUCUACCCCUUGUUUGAUUUGAAGAGGCUGCAUUGAGGAUGCUCUAUGGCAUACAAUGAACGCUGCAUUUCUGUUCUAUGUUGCUGCUUCGGAGCUGCUGUUGUUUAGCAAUUGUGAUGCUGCUGCUCUGCUAGUGAUUGUAGGAAGUUGUUGCUGCUCUUAUUAUAGUGAAUGUAUCGAAUGUUUUUUAUUCUUUUUUUUUUCAAGUGUAAAAUUACAGGUUAUCAAUGAAAUUAUUAGUUUUAAGUA